AGACACCGGCACCGCUUGCCGUGGCAGUGACACACAUCUCUGGAACUCAUGCACAUUCGUCAUAUUGACCAUGUAAGCGCCACGCGACAGUCGCUCCAGGGCUUCCACUCUUGUUGACCUGCUCGCAGCCACUGCACACGCGGGGACCCCUCCCCUUCCAACCGGUAUGGCGCAUCACCAUACACCUCUGCCAAUCGCCAUGAUCUCUCCUCCGCUCUCGCCUCUGCGUGUUGUGAAGAGCGAACAGGCACUUCCUCGGCAGUCUCGCGGUGCAUCCGUCAGUCGGAGUGAGGGCCAUAUCUCAUGCGCGCCUCAAGUGGCGAGGUGCUUCGGUGCGACUUGGAGAACGGCGCCUUCGUCGAGGUCACCAAUCCCAUCCCGUCCUCAGCCGGGCUCUGGUCUACCUCUGCUGUUGUAGCAGGCCACUAACGGUGGGUGGGUGGCCGCGCAUCCUGCCACUAGAAUGCUCUUCCACUCGGUCCGGGACGUUGUCCGACGAUUCAGGGGCAGGCGAGAGGAAAACGGCAGAGGAGGGGGCGACAUGCGUGGGCAGAUAGCGGUACUGGGCGCCUCUUGAGCGCCUCUAAUGGCCCUUGUGGAGGGGUAGCAGCCACACCGGAGAGGGGACCGACACCAUUCCUCGCUUUUUAGCACCUACUGCUGCGGCAGCCAACUCGCAUAGCGGCGAACCGUUGUUCACGGACGGCGUACAGGGAGGGGGAGGCCCGUGCGCGGUGUCGCUGCCGCUGUCCGGUCGCGGGUGGCGUUGUGCGUCGCGGCGACCGGCGACAGUGUGAGCGCGUUUGUGCCAUUUGUAUGUGGUGUGCAAGUCCGCCAUGCGCCUCGAGCGUAUCCCACCCGGCCGCCACACUGCCUACUGCUGGUGUGUGUGUGUGUGUGUGGGGGGUGGGGCUGCGCCACGCCGAGGGGGAUGCACGAGGUAGCGACCGGCAUGAUGGGGGAGCGUCUGCGCGGCGACCUGCGGAGCGGGUGGUGGGCCGGCAGAGCUCGAGGCAGAGGCCGUGCUCUCGGAUGAGAGGGUCGCUGCAUUGCUGUAGCGUGUGUGCCCAGGGCUGCCAUUACACGAGGCGGGGGGGCCUGUGACAGGCCCUCUGUGUGUGUGUGGGGGGGCGAGUGGCGCUGGAGCCGUGCCGCCAUGGCAGCUAGAUGGGCGCGACGCAGCACGGGGCAAAUCAGAAAAUAAAUCUUCC
rnacentral:misc_RNA from 1 species